rnacentral:rRNA from 1 species
GACGAACGCUGGCGGCGUGCUUAACACAUGCAAGUCGAACGGAAAGGCCCUGCUUUUGUGGGGUGCUCGAGUGGCGAACGGGUGAGUAACACGUGAGUAACCUGCCCUUGACUUUGGGAUAACUUCAGGAAACUGGGGCUAAUACCGGAUAGGAGCUCCUGCUGCAUGGUGGGGGUUGGAAAGUUUCGGCGGUUGGGGAUGGACUCGCGGCUUAUCAGCUUGUUGGUGGGGUAGUGGCUUACCAAGGCUUUGACGGGUAGCCGGCCUGAGAGGGUGACCGGCCACAUUGGGACUGAGAUACGGCCCAGACUCCUACGGGAGGCAGCAGUGGGGAAUAUUGCACAAUGGGCGGAAACCUGAUGCAGCAACGCCGCGUGCGGGAUGACGGCCUUCAGGUUGUAAACCGCUUUCGCCUGUGACGAAGCGUGAGUGACGGUAAUGGGUAAAGAAGCACCGGCUAACUACGUG